AUGGGCAUGGCAAUAGCAAUGGGGGUCAUGAGUUUGCUAUGCUCAUUUCUAGCCGUCCUGACUACCACCAUGGUGACCGCUAGCGACGAGGCCGCGUUGCUUGCUUUCAAAGCGCAGGUUAGCGAUGGUGACUCGCUGGCCUCGUGGAACAGCAGCGUUGGCUUCUGCAACUGGGAAGGCGUGACUUGCAGCCAUCGGAGACCUGAGAGAGUGGUGGAGCUGAGAUUGGACAGCAAGACGCUCGCUGGAGUGCUCUCCCCGGCCAUCGGAAACCUCACAUUCCUGCGAACGCUCAAUCUGAGCUUCAACUCGCUACACGGGGAGAUUCCGGCGAGCAUCGACCGCCUUCGCCGCUUGCAGAGGCUCGAUUUGGGCCACAACUCCUUCUCCGGUACAUUCCCUAUGAACCUGACCUCCUGCAUCAGCAUGACCAUAAUGGCACUGCCCAACAACAAGCUUGGCGGGCACAUCCCGGCUGACCUCGGCAAGAAGCUCACGUCCCUGGCAGUGAUCUCACUGAGAGACAACCACUUCACAGGGUUCAUCCCGACAUCUCUGGCCAACCUGUCCCAUCUACAAUACCUCGAUCUCACCACUAAUCAGCUUGUGGGCUCAAUCCCACCAGAGCUCGGAAGAUUCCAGCGCAUGCAGUUCUUCAGCCUUGUCGGAAAUAACCUCUCUGGUAUGCUCCCACCUUCUCUCUACAACUGGUCAUCGGUGGAAGUAUUUUCAGUAGGGUUUAAUAUGUUGUACGGAAGCAUUCCGGAUGAUAUUGGCGACAAGUUCCCUAAGUUGGAAUAUCUCGGCUUAAUUCGUAAUCACUUCAGUGGAGCCCUCCCUUCAUCACUGUCCAAUAUGUCUAGUCUCACGAAUCUUAAUAUUGGGCGAAAUAGAUUUAGUGGUUAUGUGCCUUCCACUUUGGGGAGGCUCAUAGCUCUCCAGAGACUGCACUUGGGUGAAAAUGAGCUCAAAGCAAAUGACAACAAGGGGUGGGAAUUCAUCACUUCUUUGGCAAACUGCAGCCAACUGCAGGUAUUGGUACUCGCAAACAAUAAUUUUGGAGGACAACUGCCAGGUUCAAUUGUGAACCUCUCAACGACUCUCACAGGGUUAUACUUAAUGGAUAAUAGGAUCUAUGGAAGUAUCCCUGCAGAUAUUGGAAAUCUGAUUGGUCUGGAAAUACUUGGAAUAGCAAAUACUUCCAUUUACGGAGUGAUUCCAGAGAGCAUCGGUAAGCUAGAGAACUUGAUCGAGCUAUCCGUGUACAAUAAUAGCUUGUCUGGCCUCAUACCAUCAUCUCUAGGGAACCUUUCGCAGUUGACUAGGCUUGUCGCAGACCAUGGAAACUUGGAGGGGACCAUUCCAGCAAGCCUGGGGAAGUUGAAAAACCUAUUCUUACUUGAUUUGUCAGCUAACUACAGACUCAAUGGUUCAAUACCCAUAGAGAUUUUCAAAUUACCUAGCCUUUCUUGGUAUUUGGACCUGUCAUACAAUUCCCUUUCUGGACCCCUUCCUAAUGAAGUUGGUAGUUUGGCAAAUCUUAACCACCUGGCUCUAUCAGGAAACCAGUUGUCUGGCAAGAUACCCGAUAGUAUUAAGAAUUGCAUAGUGUUGGAAAGGCUAUCAUUAGACAACAAUUCAUUUGAAGGAAGCAUACCUCGGUUGCUAGCAAACAUAAAGGGGCUCAGAGUAUUGAAUCUGACCAUGAAUAAGUUAUCUGGUAAUAUUCCUGAUGCCAUGGGCAAUAUUGGAAACCUGCAGGAACUAUACCUAGCACAUAACCACUUGUCAGGGCCAAUCCCACUAGUUCUACAGAAUUUGACAUCCUUGUUUGAAUUGGAUGUAUCCUUCAACAAUUUGCAAGGUGAGGUGCCAAAUGAAGGUGUUUUCAGAAACAUCACUUACUUAGCAGUUGUUGGGAAUGUAAAUUUGUGUGGCGGUACACCUCAACUUCAUUUGGCUCCAUGCUCCACAAGGCACUUAAGCAAGAACAAAAGAAAGAUGCCAAAGUCUAUUGUAAUUUCACUAGCGACAGCUGGAGCAAUCUUGUUCUCACUUUUGGUUAUUUUUCUUGUUUGGAUACUUUGCAAGAAGCUCAAACCAAGACAAAAGACAUUAGCACAACAUUCAAUUGUUGAUGACCAUUACAAGAGAAUCCCGUAUCAUGCAUUAUUGAGAGGAACUAACGAGUUUUCAGAAGCCAACUUGCUUGGGAGAGGAAGUUAUGGUGCAGUUUAUAAGUGUGUUUUGGACACUGAAGAAAGAACAUUGGCUGUCAAGGUGUUCAAUCUGGGUCAAUCAAGAUAUUCCAAGAGUUUUGAGGCUGAGUGUGAGACUAUGAGAAGGAUACGACACCGUUGUCUCAUUAAGAUCAUUACUUCUUGUUCGAGCGUUAACCACCAAGGUCAAGAGUUUAAGGCAUUGGUUUUUGAGUUCAUGCCCAACGGUAACUUGGAUGGCUGGCUUCAUCCAAAAUCUCAAGAAGCCACUACAAACAACACUUUCAGCCUUGCCCAGAGGCUUGAUAUUGCUGUUGAUAUUGUGGACGCAGUAGAAUAUUUGCACAACUACUGUCAGCCAUUGGUAAUCCACUGUGAUCUUAAGCCAAGCAACAUUCUUCUUGCUGAAGACCUGAGCGCCCGAGUUGGAGACUUUGGCAUAUCAAGGAUCCUUCAAGAAAAUACAAGCGAAGGGAUGCAGACUUCAUAUGGCUCAACUGGACUUAGAGGUUCCAUAGGCUAUGUUGCUCCAGAGUAUGGGGAAGGCUCUGCUGUCUCAACCGCUGGUGAUAUUUAUAGUCUUGGCAUACUACUGCUUGAGAUGUUUACGGGAAGAAGCCCAACAGAAGGCACGUUCGGAGAUUCAUUGGGUCUGCAUAAGUUUGUCGAGGAUGCUCUUCCAGAUAGAACCUUGGAGAUAGCUGACCCGACAAUGUGGUUGCACAGCGGACAACACAAUAACACUACAAGCAUUAGAAUUCAGGAAUUAUUGGUUUCAGUCUUGAGCCUUGGCAUAUCCUGCUCAAAGCAACAUCCUCGUGACCGAGCACUGACAAGAGAUGCAACAACGGAGAUGCACGCAAUUAGAGAUGCAUACCUCAAGUUCAUAGGGGAGCAUGGAGCAGAACGAGAAGCCUCGACUCAAGAAAUUCAGAGCAGCGUUGCAUAA
rnacentral:rRNA from 1 species